CACGUAGGGGGCGAGCGUUGUUCGGAUUUAUUGGGCGUAAAGGGUGCGUAGGUGGCAAAGUAAGUUGGAUGUGAAAUCCUGGGGCUCAACCUCAGAAUUGCAUUCAAUACUGCUUAGCUAGAGAGCUGUAGAGGAGACUGGAAUUUCCGGUGUAGCGGUGAAAUGCGUAGAUAUCGGAAGGAACAUCAGUGGCGAAAGCGACUCCUGGACCAAUACUGACGCUCAUGUGCGAAAGCGUGGGGAGCAAACAGGAUUAGAAACCC
rnacentral:rRNA from 1 species